rnacentral:lncRNA from 1 species
AAAAUCUAGCUAAAUCGAAUAAGUAAUAUUCUAAUUUUAUAUCUAUAAGGAAAAAUCACUUUAUUAUUUUUGUUUACUGGGUGCCGGUAAAUAUUUUCGUUAUCACUGACUUAAGAGGUAAAGAUUGAUGUGCUUGAAUUCAAAGGUAAUAAAUUCUGGAUUGAAGCCUCCUAUUGCAAUCGUAGCAUUUUAGUCCACCAAAGAUGUGGCAAAUUUCCUCCCAUUAACCACUAUUUGUUCACAAGACAUUCCGUUGAAAUACAAGUUGUCCGAUAAUGGGAAAAUUAUUUUGAAUUUAAACUCUACAUUUUCGUUCAACUUAUUCAAAUAUAUCUACGAACUUCUAGAAAUAGAUACUCAAAUGAUCAACACUUACAAUCGGUCGAUUAUGUGAUUAAGUGUCAAGUAUCUCUCUAGUCUCCAGUUAAUUCGACUUAAACAGCAUCCAUAUCUUCACCCACAUUAAAUAGUUCUACCAGAAAUUCUUCUUUAUUUUACUUAGAAAACUCAAAACUACAAAAAAUAUC